GAUGAACGCUGGCGGCGCGCCUAACACAUGCAAGUCGAACGAUUAAAGCACCUUCGGGUGUGUAUAAAGUGGCGAACGGCUGAGUAACACGUGGGCAACCUGCCCCUUUCAUUGGGAUAGCCACGGGAAACCGUGGAUAAUACCGAAUACUUCGAGACUUCCGCAUGGAAGACUCGAGAAAGCUCCGGCGGAGAGGGAUGGGCCCGCGGCCUGUUAGCUUGUUGGUGGGGUAACGGCCUACCAAGGCAAUGAUGGGUAGCUGGGUUGAGAGACCGACCAGCCAGAUUGGGACUGAGACACGGCCCAGACUCCUACGGGAGGCAGCAGUGGGGAAUCUUGCACAAUGGGCGAAAGCCUGAUGCAGCGACGCCGCGUGCGGGAUGAAGGCCUUCGGGUUGUAAACCGCUUUCAGCAGGGACGAGGCGAAAGCGACGGUACCUGCAGAAGAAGCCCCGGCUAACUACGUG
rnacentral:rRNA from 1 species